rnacentral:lncRNA from 1 species
UAUAUUAAGGUCUAUGACAUGUGCGAUAUUUUUGUUAGGUUAUAUUUUCUAAUUUGGGCUCAUUUUUAAUUGGUAAGAUUUGUUGGACUAAUUUGAAAUUUGAAUUUGGGUUUGAAUAUCUAUUGCGAAUUUUAUACAUUUUUAGAUAUUUACAAUUUAGGCUAUUUUUGUUUUUGCAUAGGCUCAUUCUACAAUUCUAUUGGCUGAAUACGAAUUUAUGACACGUGGAACAUGGAAUUUCAUGGAAGAAAGUGAUAAUAAAAAGGCUAUAAAAAGACAUUGAGCUUAUUGUAAGCUUAUUUGGAUACACGUUUUGUUUCUCACUUUUAUUUGGUUUUAUUUUUAUUAGUUCUUGUAAAUAUUUGUUUGUAUAUUUUUAUUGAUUAAAUAUAAAAUUGGAUAUCGAACAAAUUAGAAAUUUUGUUUAAAUAAGAGGAAUAAUUCAGUAAAUAUGUUUUAAUAAAAUAAUAAUUUUAAAAUAUUCUUCUUAAUAAAAGAAAGUUUUUUAUUAUUAAUAAAAAUUCAAAAAAAAUGCUUUUAGAAAAAAUCCAAAAAAAAAAAUUGUUUUUAAUAAUAAUUGUCCAAAAAUUUCUUUAUUUAAUAAAAAUUGUCCAAAAAUUAUUUUUUAAAUAAAGUUGUCCCAAAAAUUAAUUUUUAAUAAGAUUGUCCAAAAAAAUGUUUUUUUUUAUAUAUAUAAAUGAAUUCUUUUUGCUUAAUUAAAAUGAGAUUAAAAGUAUUUUUAGAAAUAGAGGAUUUAAUUUUUUUUUUCUUUUUGAUUAAAAAUUCUUUUGCAAAUAAAGUUAUGUCUUUUUAAAUAAUUUGUAUAAAUCACUUUUCUUAAAUGAAAACAAAUUGAAAUACUUUUAUACAUAAAAUUGCAUAAAUUCAUUCAUUUUUUGUAAAAGCAAGUAAAAAUAAUUUUUGUACCCAAAUUGAAAUUUUGUAAUAAAUUAUUUUGAUACAAUAAAUGUAAAUAACUUUUUUGAAAAUUGAAUACAAAGAGAAAAUAAAUUGAUUCUUUUUGUAAAUAAAUAAAUUAAAAUCAUGAAUUCAAAAUCAUUUUUUAUAAAAUCCUUUGAAAUUUCUUGAAAACUAUUUUUUUAAUAUCUUUUUUUUAUUUAGUUCAAUAAAUAAUUUUGCAUAAUCCUCUUGUCAUUUAUUUUGUAUAUUCUUGUAAUUAGAUUUCAUCAUUAUUUUUGUGUAUAUUAAUUUUCACUAUGACGUGUACAUUGAUUAUUUUUCUUGGUAUCCAUAAUUAAUUAAUUGUCACAAUUCCCUUAAUUCGUUUAGUAAAGGUCAUACGUAUACGGGCUUAGAGUGAUACUACGAUUCACUACCAUACCUUCCCAAUAGGUAAUCUAACCCCUGGACCCGACUUUAGUUUUCCACAGACUGUUUUUUCCAAUUAAAGAGUCACACUUAAGGUUUUCUUUCUUAUUUUGUUUUCUCUUAAAAAAAAUAAAACAAAAAUAAGUGGUGACUCCAAGUCUUUUUCAAAUAAUCAAAUUUUCACCUAAUAAAUAAAAGAAACGAGUCACGCCAUCGAGUGGGAACACAUAUAAAAAACGUGGGUGUAGACCCCCCCCUGGGGCUGCGAAGCAGGGAGGAGUUUCUUUGUUUUUUUCUUUUUUUUUCUCAGGCGGCUGAUGGGAGGUUGGCUCGGGCAGAGAAGUGCAACUGAUGGGAGAGGCAACAGGGAGGCUUGCGGGAGAAGCCAAAGGAAGCUAAAAAGAAAAGAGAAAAGGGAAGAAGGGAUAUCGGCAGAGGGGGGCUUGUCUUCAGGUAGGGGACGAGAGCAGAAGGAGAGGAGAUUUGGCUAGAGGGAGAAAAAACCAGACAGAAGAAGCUUCCGCGGGCGCGGUAAGUCUCCAUUUCUUAAUGCCUACUUCACCAUUUGAUAAUAUAUGCAUGAUAUUUAUUGUUUGCUGUGGACAUCAAGGGCCACAGGUUUGGUUUUGGGUUGAACCCGUUUACAUGCACAUUAUGCUCUGUUCUCAUUUUCAUUUCUCUUUGGUGCCCAUCUCUAUACAUGUAUGGUCGUUAUCAUUCUCAUGUUCCUUGUUCCGGUUUCCAUACAUGCCUUCAUCCUCACGCUCCCCCGGUGCACCUCAUUUUCCUUCUUUGGAUUUCAUGGGUCUUUCACGUCACAAGCCUCCACUACCACCUUUUCUCUCACUACCAUUUCCCGUCAAGCAUCUUCCUGCCUACGCGUUCCCAGUGGUCUCCACGUCAUCGCUGGUCGGCUCAACCCCGAGGUCGCUGGCCGGAAUCCCAAGGAUGUUGUCAAUGGAGGUGGUCUCGCUGGAGGGUCCGCUGUCGGAGUACUAGCUGAAGUUGGCGUCGGGAUCGUCCUCGGAGGAGUGGAGUUCGGAUAACUGCCAGCCCCAUGGUGGCGUCAUGCCUCUGCGCCUGGUCAGAGAGUCCAGUCUUCCUUUGGAUACCACCGAUCGGCGUGCCACCAGAGCGAAGAUGACCCCCCCUUGAUAUCGCCGUUGACAGCAGCCGGACGUGGAAGCCCCCGCGAGCGCAUCAGAAUGGCUCUUCGCGGAUAGCCUGCCGCUUCCUCAGCUGCCGCCGCUUGCUUCGUCACCAGACCGCCGCCACGGCUCCUCUCUUCCCCGCACCGCCGCUGCUCCUCUUUUCCUCGCGCUGCCAUGGCUCUCCUCUACCUCGUGCCGUCGGUGGAGUCUUCGCGGGUGGAGAGGCAGAUGGUAAAGAGAAGGGUUGUUUUGCCCAUGAUGGUUUUGGGCUGGGGUUUGAACUUGGAGCCAGACCCAAGCCUAUGAAGAGAAGCCCAAGUUUGUGAAGGCUUUAAAUGCCUUGGGCUUGCCCAUUGAUACCUCAUGGAUUGGGCUUGAUGAAGAUGGGGUUUAUUAGUGGACUUGGGCUUUAGUGGGCUAGACUCAGAUGAGAGGCCCAAGUUUGUGAAGGCAUUGGGUGCCUUGGGCUUGCCCAUUUGGCAUCUUUGGGCUUGGGCCUGAUGGAUGCGUAUUAUCAUUUAUUAUUAUUAUUAAUUAUUAUUAUCAUUGUUAUUAUUAUUAUUAUUAAUCAUUAUUAUCAUUAUUAUUAUUAUCAUUGUUAUUAUCAUUAUUAUUAAUUAUUAUUAUUAUUGUUAUUAUUAUUAUGGUUACUAUUAUUAUUAUUAUUGUUAAUUAUUAUUAUCAUUGUUAUUAUCAUUAUUAUUAAUCAUUAUUAUCAUUUCACACUAUCAACAUCCAUUUAUUACUAUUAUUAUCAUCAUUAACCCAAACUUUCAAAAAUCUCAUUAUUAUUAUUAUUAUUACCUCAACUUUCAAAAUCUAUUUAGUAUUAUUAUUAUUAUCAUCAAUCCAAACUUUCAAAACCCUAUUAUUAUUAUUACUAACCCAACUUUCAAAAUCUCAUUAUUAUCAUUAUUAUUAAUUCACACUUUCAACAUCUAUUUAUUGUUAUUUAUUAUUAUCAUCAAUCCAAACCUCCAAAAUCUCAUCAUUAUCAUUAUUAUUAAUUCACAUUUUCAAUAUCUAUUUAUUAUUAUUUAUUAUUAUCAUUAAUUCCAUCUCUCAAAAUCUUAUUAUUAUCAUUAUUGUUAACUCAACUUUCAAAAUCUAUUUAUUAUUAUCAUUAUUAUCAUUAAUCCAAAUUCUCAAAAUCUUAUUAUUAUUAUUAUUAUUAAUUCACACCUUCAAAAUCUUAUUAUUGUUAUUAUUAUCAUUAAUUCAGACUUUCGAAACCUUAUAAUUACUAUUAUUAUUAAUUCAACCUCUCAAGACCUCAUUACUAUCAUUAUUAUAAAUUCAACUUUCACAAGUCUAUGGUCUCGCAGUUCAAUUUCCUAAAUUUCGUUUCUCAUUUUCUUUAACAAAUUCCAAUUUAAUCACCGGAGCUCUAAUCUUCAAAAUUUAAUUCCAAAUACUCCAAUUUUCAAAUAAGCUCCAAUAAUCCGGUUUUCACUCGAAUAGUUUUUAAUCACAUUUCAGUUCCUAAAUAAUCUUCUGAUCUUCUUGACUUUACAUAAGCAAUAGUGAUUCCUUCAUAAUUCCAAAACACGAGAUUUGUGGGAUUAGCUCAUGAACAAUAAAUCGGGCUUUGUUGGGGGCCCUAUGUUUGACCCCUUUUGACUGUCAAUUAUCGUGCUUACUGUAUUUUGCUUGAGCUUCGCUUUGCACUCCGAUAUGUAUGAGCUAUGUUUUGUAUUCAUUAAUUGUGCACUAAUCCCGUUUCUCGAUAGCGCGUUGCUGUUUGCUGCCCAGGUACGCAUUCACUCAUUCUGAUCAUUCAUUAUACAUAUUCUGAUUCUCAUAUAUGCAUGAUUGAUGUAUCCAUUGACUUUCUUAUUCGAUUGCCACGUCAGUUUCACUUUAUUAGUAGAGACCCGACUUUAGGGGCUUAGAGGGAUGCUACGGUCUUUACCGUACCUUCCCGAUGAGUAACCUGACCCCUGAACCCGAUCCGGUUUUUCACAGACCACCUUUUCCAAAACAAGGAGUCAUACUUAGGGUUUUUCUUUCUUAUUUUGUUUACCCUUUAAAAAUAAAACAAAAAUAAGUGGCAACUCCAAGUCAAUUUUUCUUAAUCAAUAAAGAUCAAUUUUUCGAAAUCAAAAUCGAGUUUCGCCAUCGAGUGGGAAACGCAUGAGCCGAAAUGCGGGGUCCACAGUGGGUCAACAAUGGGACUUUGAAUUUUCCUUAACAAAAUAGCUUGAUCAGCAUGAUUUUUUUUGUUGCCAAUAGUGGGAAAUACUGCAAAACACGUCGGAUCAAUCAUAUUUAACUUCGAAAACAAGUUGGUAGUUGUUAAACUAAAAAAAAAUUAUACUUUUCAGAUCAAGUUGCAUUGGUUUUACUUCAAAAUUACCAUAUAGGGCGGGUUAGACGUGAUCAAUCUACAAAGUCAUUUAUUAAAAUUCGUAAGGAGGACCCAGUUUUUGAGAUACCAAAUUUACCCUGUGUUCAACUAUCUCCCAUUAAUCCUUUACUUCCAUAAAGUUGAAAACAAAAUAAAUAAAUAAAAAUGAGAAAUAAAAUUAGAACUUUACCAUUUAAUUCAUCUUUAUUUUUCUGUAACUCCUUAUAAGAAAUUUUUUUUAAAAAAUAGGAAUAUAUAUAUAUAUAUAAAUCAAGAAAAAUAAUAAAAGUUAUAUAUGUUUUUUUAUUUUUUUAUAAGAAAUUAAAUUAUUUGAAACAUACUUUUCUAAAAACUAAAAAUAAAAAAUAAAAUUUGGGAUUUUUUUAAAGAACCCAUUAAAAAAAUAAAUUUAAUUUUCAAUUUCUCUUGAAUAAAAACCAAACCCUAAUGUUAUUAUACUAUUUUAUGCAUGUAACAAUAAACUUUAGCAAUUGCUCAUGAUCAAUCAAAAACUUUGUUACCCUAAUAAAAUGAACAAUUAUUUUUUAUGAGCACGCAUUAAUUGAAUAACACAUAAAGAUUCGUUUGGUAGUAUAACACAUGAAAAAAAAUUAAAAAAUUUCUAAAUUAGAUUAUGUCACGGUAUAUUGUAAUAUUAAUGUAUUUAUAUUACAAGUGUAAUGCAUUUAUGUCGUACUUAUCUUUUAUGACAAAAUUAAUAAUUUUAGAAAUAAUUGUUUAUAACUUAUUGGUAUUAGGAAUGGCAAUUUCGCGGGUUUCCCGGGUCACCCGCCUCGACCCGCCCCUAUUGGGACGGGUAUAGGAACAUGGCAAUCGGGGAUGGGCCGAGUUCAAGAUUUUUUUUAAAACCCGAAUCGGGUUCGGGGCGGGGUUGGGUGUAGUUAUAAUUUGACCCGCCCCGCCCCGAAUAUGAAAUUACUACUUUACCCCCCACUUAUAAAUAUUAGCUUCCUCUCCUCAUUUUAGGUCUUCUUUUCUCAGUUCUCGUUCCUGUCGACGCUAGGGUUUUUGCUCCCACUCAAUGGAGAAAUUCAUCAGAUAAUCCAUUCGAAAAUCCAUUUCCUCUCUAUUCAUCCUUGUUUAUCCCAUAUUCACAAGAAAUCAAGAAUCACAACUAUUAUCUUCACGUAUCUACAAACCGGUAAGAUUUUUUGUUGAUUUUUUGGUUGAAUGAUGCCUUGAUUUGGUGUUGUAUUCCGUUUCUAAUUCGGGAAAGAGAUACGAGAUUUAGGAUUUUUCCAUUUCCAGUUUUAGAUUAUUGAAGGAUUUUUUUUUUCUAUUAGUUUUCAGGUUGCUAUUUAGGGUUUUGAAUCCAUUUCUUGCGAAUCUUAAUAGGGGCUAAGCAGAUCUUAUCGUCAAAUGCUUCCACUCCCUUCAUAUUGAGAAAUGGAUCUUAUCGUCAAAUUUUUCUAGGGUUUCAUAUUAAUAGCAGAAUAACGAAGUACGUAAGUAUCCCUAAAUACCAAAUAUGUAGUUAUUCAUUGAAGUUCUUAGCCCGACUUCCAAGACUGUGCCACAAUUUCAAUUCAUUGUUUGAAACAUCUGGUUGAUGAACCAUGCUAACACCAGUAUCUGUAUCUUUAUAUAUGGAAAUUGCAUUAUUCCUGUAAAAUGAAAACAAAGAAGGAGAAGUGAGGCAAUAUAUAAUAACAUAGAUCAAAGUAGUCAUAUAAAUCAGCUUGUGAACAAUAGCUUGGAAGGCGUGAAAGACAAACAUAUAUGUCAGAAUAGAGGAUAUGUUAAAAUAUGUUCCCCCACUAAAUCUUGGUUUUCAAUGGGAAAAAAUGAAGAUAUUGUAUAUAACACCACUUCAACCAAUCGAAAGGAUAAACAUUUUUGACCCAAAAGCUUAUGUUGUAUGCGAAAUUGAAUAUAUAAGAGGCUAUAUAUGAAUGUAAGAUGGAAUAUUUAACAGGAAAUCACAUCUUCAAUGAACAUCCAAAAGCCUAAGUGGCAGCUAAUUUAGAGAACCAUUUCGUCAUAAUUCUUGCAGCCAACUGCCUACAGAGCCUCUUUAGAGUUAAGAACUUCACAUGCUCACCUAUCUGGCUUCAAUUUCUUCCUAGCAAGAUCAGAACCCCCUGCAGUUUGUCUUCCUGCAAAAGAGGAAAAAAUUUAGCCUGUGAAAGAAUUAAGAUGAAAAACAGCAUUUCAACUUACGAUUUUCUCCUCUAGCCAGGACAGUUCCAAAGCUUCGAACUGGUAAAUGCUUCUCUAUUAAGUCAUCCUAAAAUUGGAAAGACAUUAGAAUGAAAGUCAUUAUGCCAGUAUAAAUUUAAUUCUAAUGCUUUAAGAUGCAUAUACCUCUGUAGCUUUUGGUCUUGUUAGACAACGGGCAAAAUAUUUCUUAUAGGCUGCCUUCAACUUUUCUAUUGGUUGAGCAUUCCUAAAGCAUAGAAAAAUUGAAUUUUGGUAAAACAAGAACAUAAAUAGUCUAAGAGAUAUAGAAACUAAAAUUUUUGCAGAACAGAGAUACAAUUCUGUCAGAAGAUCAAUCCACAAAAAUACAUCCUAAAACUAUUGACCCCUUUAGUUCCAGCUCUUCACAAAUAAAAUAAUCUUCACUUCAACUUCUUCAGAAUCAUACUUCAAUACCAAAAUUGUUAAGCAUGAACUUAAGUUGUUAGCCCUUUUUACCAAAUUAUAAUAAUACAAAAAUCCACAAAGCCUCUAUUCCCCAUUACUGGACACAUCUAUGUGAAUCCUUUCCUGUCACUCAGCCCUAUCUAGGGUCAUCUGUAUGCAUUGCCAAUCUGUUUGGUCAGACUUAAAUAAUAAUUAAUUGAAUAUGUCAUAUAGGAAUUCAAAUAAUCCAACCACAUCAUAAUAUGACAUAUUAGAUAACCAAGAAGAAAAGAAAGGAGAGAAACUAUCCGUCCUUGAGAAAUUUACAGUCAAGAAGGUAGGGGCAGUCCUAUAAUAUUUAGCAUAAUACCUAACCAACCCACUUUCAUUAAAAUAGGUAGACACUUUUUAACUAACCAAGAUUUGUCCUUAUAUGAGAUUUAUAGAACCAAGAAAGCAAAGUAAAGCCUAUAAAAAAAUAAAAAAAUAAAAAAAAUAAAAAAGAAGGCAAAAUCAAAGAAAACACAAGAAACAGAAAAAAGAAAGACACUCUAAACUCUCCAAGCAAGCCAUCUUCAAUGUUUCUAAACACAAGAAACCCCUUAGCCACUAAUCAAGCCUUGUAUUUAAGUAUAUUGUCAUAUGUUUUUUCUUUGACUUUGAAAACCCAUUUACAUCCUAUUGCUUUCCUCCCAAGUGGUAAUGAAACCAAUGACCAUGUUCCAUUCUUCUGAAGAGCCCUAUAUUCUUCUAAGAUUGCCUUUUUCUACUCUGGUUCCUGCAAAGCAACAAGCACACUAGAAGGCUCUCUCAACUCUGCUAGAUAAAUCUUAGGCUUGUAUCUACCAUUCUUGGCUCUUGUUAUCAUUACAUGAGUGUUUCCUAAGCUCCUUGCUUCUAUAGCAGCAAAAACUAAUCCUACAAUAUUUUUGCUUAAACUAGGUUGCACAGAAACAUUAGUCUCAAGUGUAUGAGUAGGAGAGCAAUAGCAUUAGAAGUAUCCAUGUCACAUAAAUGCUUAUCUUCAUGUUGUGUAGAUGGUACUAGUGUUAGAAAUAGAUGUUCGAAAAGGAUUAUCUUGAGAAUUAGAUGAUGCAAAACCUAAAAGGAGCUGAGAAAUAUGAGGAAAUACAGGUGGUGUGGCUAAGGGCCUUAAACUUAUCUGAGAGACUGAAAGGACAACUGGUGACUUUUUUAUUUUUGAAAAAGGAAAAGAGAAUUCAUCAAAUAUGACAUCUCUUGAAAUAAACAUCCUACUAUUAGGGUCUAAACACUUACAACCCUUGUGAUUUAAAUUGUAGCCCAUAAAUAUGCAUUAAGCACUCCUAAAUUGCAACUUAUGUUUAUUAUAGGUUCUAAGGUUAAGAUUACAAGCACAUCCAAAGACUCUAUGAGUGUUAUAGGCAGGUUUAAUCUUGAAUAAGGUUCUAAAGGGGAUUUAAUAUUAAGAAUAGAAGUUCGAAGUCUAUUUAUAGGUACAAAGUCGCUUUAAAAGCCUCAUCCCAAUAUUUCAAAGGAAGAAAAGAAUUUGCUGAGAGAGAGAGAACCCAUUUUCUACUAUAUGCGCCUAUGUUUUCUAUCAACAACCUCAUUUUGUUCGUGUAUGAGGGCAAGAAACUUUAUGUACUAUCCCAUUAGUAGACAAAUUAUCUUGAAAUACUUUGAAACUCUUCUCCACAAUCUGUUUGCAUGGCUUCAAGUUUGGUAUUGAAAUUGAUAAAAGUUUGAAUAGCAUCUGAUUUAUUUCUAAGCAAGUAAAUCUAGGUAAUCUAGAGUAAUAAUCAAUAAAAUGGAUGUAAUAUUUGAUUAAUAUUUAUAUCCAUUACUAGCCUAAAUGUGUGCUAGACCCCAUAGAUCAAAAUGCAUAAGUUGAAGAGGAGCAGUAUAGACUGUAUCAGACAAACUGAAUGAGAGUUUAUGAAUCUUACCUAUACAACAAGAUGUACAUAAAGAAGAUUCCAUUUUAUUAAAAUUGGGCAUAUUACAAUGAGAGAGUACACAUUUGAAAACUUUUUCAAAUGGAUGACCUAACCUUUUAUGCCACAAAUCAAACAAAGAACUCUUAGAAUUGGUUGAACAACUAGUAUGUGUUGAAUUAUCUAUAUUACAAGAGGCUGACAGUUUUUUUGUUUUUAAAAUCAGAAACUUUUAUAUAGAAAUAAAACAUCUUGUUCAAAAAGUAUAGAUUUACCUUUUAUUUUUAAAAAUCAUUUUCAAAUAAUUAAACAGUUUUUAAAAGUAUUACUUUUUCAAUGUAAGUCUCUAAGUGUUUUUGUAUUUUAUAUAAAAGUUACCACUAUUUUCUGAUUUCAAAAACAGAAAACGGGAAGUUUAUCUAAACAAGCACAAAGUUGAUUUAUUUUGUUAUAUUUAUAAAGUUCAUCUGGAUAUUGGGACUUUCUUAACAGAAAGUGGCAGAUAAGGACUUCAGAUUUAGUGCUUAGUCAUGCCAAAUUCUCAUGAAUUUCAAUAGUUGGGUCAAUAUAUAUAUAUAUAUAUAUACAUAUUUUACUUGAUCCUUGCAUUAUUCCCUUGCUUCUUUCUCACCAGGAUUACUUAUCCAGCACCAAAUGGUUGUUUAAUUUGCAUAUCAGUUCUUUAUCAUGUGAAGUAUGAGGUUGUGAAUGUGCAAUUGGACAUUUUUUAUGUUCUCUACAGGCAAAUUUAUUUUCUACUGGUUAUAUGAAAGUUUAAUUUUGUUUGACUCUAGAAAUGCAUUGAGGAAUUCUGCAUUCUUGUUGCUUCCAUAUUAUGAUAGCACAAAAACUUAGGUGGAUCUAAAGGAAGAGAGAAUCCUGAAAAAUUAGAAUUUAUUUGCAUGGCCUCAUGAUAAUUUGUAUAAUGAUUCUUGGAAUGUUUUGUUUUGUUUUCUGGUGAUUACUUUUUAGAAUAUUCUUUGUUUGCUUUUGUUUGCUUUGUUUUCUGUUUUUUUAUUUUCUUCUUAUUUUCUUCUCACUUGCUGUGGGUUGUCCAUAUAAACUGCAUGUGUCUUUCGGUUGCACUGCCCUCGAUGCUUUUCUAUUACAUUUAUUUUCCUAUUAAUGGAAACUAUGUUGACAUCUUGCAAUUCUUGGAGGUUAACCUAAAUACAAUCUUGCCUUUUAAACCCUUGCUUCAAGCCCUAUCCAAGCUUUAGGUUAUUAAUUUAGGUUUGAAUGUUUUACUUAUAGACUUUAUUUUAUAUUAAGAAAAAUGACAUCAGAAGAAGGGGAAAACUUUUCCAUGCCAAGUGCGGGUUCAACUCCAAUUACAGGCAGUACUUCAACUACUGAUGGAACCUUGGUAUCUAAAAGAAGAAAGUUGACUUCGGUUGUUUGGAAUGAUUUUGAUAAAAUCAUAGAAGAUGGACAAGAUUAUGCUAUUUGUAAGCACUGUAAGGGAAAGCUUAAGGCCGAUAGCAAGAAUGGGACAAAACACUUACAUGUACACAUAGAAAGGUGCAUGAAACGAAGAAAUGUUGAUAUUAGGCAACAAUUAUUGGCAGUAGAGAGAAAAUGUCAUGGAAAAGUUCAAAUUGGUGGUUUUACCUUUGAUCAAGAAAUCUCAAGAGAGAAGCUUGCACGUGCAAUUAUAUUGCAUGAGUACCCACUUUCAAUCGUUGACCAUGUAGGGUUUAGAGAAUUUGCUACUAGUCUCCAACCCUUAUUUAAGAUGGUUUCCCGCAAUACGAUUAAGGGUGAUAUAAUGAAGAUUUAUGAGGUUGAGAAAGAUAAGAUGAUUAGCUACUUAGAGAAACUUCAAAGUAGAGUUGCUAUCACAACUAAUAUGUGGACAUCAAAACAAAAGAAAGGCUACAUGGCUAUCACUGUACAUUACAUUGAUGAGUCUUGUGAUUCUUGCCCACUUGGUGUCUCAGCUGAUUCAUGUCCAGCUGGUGCUCCUUGAUUGAGGGAUUAAUCAACAAAAUUUAUAACCUAUUACACCAUAUACUAGGGUAGCAAAGACAAAGCUACUAUAGCAUAGUGGCUCUAGGAUCGUUCACUGGGAUGGGUUUUCACUUUGCAAAUGAUAUUAAUUCAAAGCUGAAUUGGUGUCUUUUCAUUUCAAGGUUAGCUUUAAAAGAAAACAUAAAGAUGUUUGAAUGAAAAAGGUUUGGUUUUAAACUAACCAAAAAUAGUAACUGAUUUUACUUACAAAGAAAAGUGUUUCUUGGAGUUCAGAUCACUAGGCUCAGGUUCCUCAUACAAAAAGGGAGUUCCGGUCACUUGUUUCUUUUCCUCGUAUUAGAGAAUUAACAUAUAGUUCCUUCUCCAACCGGUGUUGUACAGAUGCUUCCCAUUAAUGGGUUCAAACACUAAAUCCCUCUCACUGAUGCACCUUGCAAUGGCUCAUACCUCUCACCUAGCACUUGCCAUUCAAGGUGAUCUUUAACCUUGGAUUACCCGUCAAAAGCUCGCAAGAGAUAACUAAUGGAUGUCUCCUUGGAGUCCAAAAGCUUACCAAGUGUUGGCUAUUCUAGAAAAUCCUACCUUCAAGUCACUUCCCAGAGGCUCGCAAGGGGCAAACUAGUGCAUCUCCAUGGACAGAGAUCACUUGCCUUACCAAGUGUUGGCCCAAGUGAUUUAAAGGCGUUUUAAGUUAACUAAAAAGAUAAAAACCAUUAACGGGUUACACUUUCUCUUCAUUAAAAACUAAAACAACAAAACUUCCAAUUUAUGCAUGUGAAAACUUACCCGGCUUUCUUCACUCCAAGAGACAAAAAGCCUAGCCUCUCAUCCUCUGAGGAAAAAUCCUCAGAGUUUGGUUAGCAAGAAAAUGAAAAUGAAAGAGAAGGAAAAACAGAGCAAGGCUCUGUAUAUUCUAUAUAUUUAUAUAUCUAUCUAUAUAUUUUACAAUGGAUUACAUGAUUCUAUCUGAUGGAUCUCCUGGAACAAGCUCCUCCGAGAGUCCCCCAAAAGUCCUCUUUUUAGUGUUUACAAGAGAGUUUAUAUAGGAAGGUAAUUUACCCUUCCUUGGAUACUUCCUAGCUAAGGAAUUACAUGAGUGGCUGAAUACAAGGAGAAAAUGGAAAUUUAUACAAAAAUAUCUGAAGAAAAGAUCUAAAAGAGUCGGUGCACAAAUAUCGGGAAGCACUAAGGACCAUUUCGCAUGUGAAAACGAGGUCUGCGAGAUUUCGUAGACGCACACAAAGGGCUGCGAAAUCAUUUCGCAACAAAAGGCUAAUCUCGCAGUGCUGUGAAGUUGGCUUUCAUCUUGAGGUGCUCAGCUUCUAGCGUGUCGCAUAUAUCGGGUAACUUCAGGAGGAAUUUCAAAACACUGUACAAAAAGGCUGCGAAAUCAUCUCGCAACAAAAGGGUGAUUUCGCAACACUUUGCAAAUUUCUUCCUUCAGCUUGGAGUGAUCGGCUUGCAAUGGCUGUAACUCCUUCAUUUCAACUCCGAAUUGCGCACCGUUUGAAUAAUUGGAUUCUUGACUUCCUGAGAUUUAAAAUGGUAUAUAGCAUGUAGAAAAUGGACUUCGGGAAGUGCUCCAAAAGUGCGAAAGAAGACUGCAGCUGCUGUUCUCUGUUUUCUUCACUCUGUUUUCCUCUCUCCAGUGCUCUUUCCUUGCAUACUUUGAACGACUAAGGCAAAGGACUAUGAGGCUCCAAAGCUUGGUUUCUUCAUGAAUUUGAGCUUCCAAAAGCUUUGCCAUGAACUAUAUACAGCUCUCCCUCGUUCUUGGAUUGCUUUGGUGAUCAAAAAGCUAUCAAAACACCAAAACUUAACACAAUUUGAUUAGAAACGAUUGCAAGGGUCCUUAACAUGUUAAUUGGGUUAAAAGGCAAUAACUACUACUCAAAAGUGUUUAAAAGAGUUAAUUACAAGCUAUGAAAUAACACUUUUUGAGUAGUAAUCAUCUUGGUUACUACACCAUCAUAUUGUAAGGUUAGUUAUGUUUUUUUUUUUAACUUCCAAAGUGUUUUUUUAUUUGAUCCUUUAAUGAUAUUGUUUGUGUUAAUGAUAUUUUUUAUUCUUAAUUUAGGUUUUUUUAUGUGCCUCCUCCACACACAAAAUAAGUUCUUUCAGAUGUAUUAAUGGAUUUCUUGUUGGAUUGGAAUAUGGAUAGAAAAGUUUCUACAGUCACUGUGGAUAAUUGCUCAAGUAAUGACGGAAUGAUCAAUAUCUUGGUGGAGAAAUUAUGUUUGAGCAAUUCACUCUUAUUGAAUGGAAAAAUUUUCCACAUGCGAUGUGCGGCACAUGUGUUGAACUUAAUUGUUAAGGAAGGUUUGGAUGUCAUUGAAGUAGAAAUUGAAAAAAAUCGUGAGAGUGUUGCAUAUUGGUCAGCAACCCCAUCAAGAAUGGAAAAGUUUGAGGAUGCAGCUCGCCAAUUGCGUAUUACAUGCAAUAAGAAGUUAAGUCUUGAUUGUAAGACACGAUGGAAUUCCACAUACUUGAUGUUAUCAAUUUCUAUAACAUAUAAAGAUGUGUUCCCACGUUUGAAGCAACGUGAAAAAUACUACAUGGUUGUGCCAUCAGAGGAAGAAUGGAAUAUGGCAAAGGAAAUAUGUGGAAGAUUGAAAUUGUUUUACAACAUAACAGAGUUGUUCUAGGAUGAAAUUAUCCCACUGCAAAUACUUUCUUCAUCAAAGUGUGCAAAAUCAAAGAGGCAUUGUAUGAUUGGUUGAUAUGCUCAAAUGAUGUUGUGAAAACGAUGGCAUCAAGUAUGUUGCAAAAGUUUGACAAGUAUUGGAGUGGGUGUCAUAUUGUGAUGGCAAUAGCAGCUAUAUUUGACCCAAAAUACAAAAUAAAGAUUUUAGAGUUUUACUUUCCACUAAUGUAUGGGUCUGAAGCUUCAAAUGAGAUAGAAAAAAUCCGUGGAAUGUGUUAUGAGUUGCUUUCUAAGUAUCAAUCAAAGUCUAAUUUGGGGCAAAAAAACUCCAUCCUAUGGUACUUCAUCAGGUUCAACUCUUUUGGAGUUAAACUAUGAUGAACAAGAUCCUCUUUCAAAGUUUGACUUAUUUGUUCAUAGUACCAUUGGAGAAAGUCAUACGAAGUCGGAGUUAGGUUAUUACUUAAAGGAGUCUAUUCUGCCAAGGAAUUCAAAUUUUGAUGUUUUAAGUUGGUGGAAGACAAAUGGUAUAAAGUAUCCGACUUUGCAGAUGAUUGUUCAUGAUAUCUAUGUUAUUCUGGUAUUUACAGUUGCAUCUCAGUCAGCCUUUAGCACGGGUGGUAGGGUCGUAUCAAAACAUCGCAUUAGGCUUCAUCCAGAUACUUUGGAGGCCUUAAUGUGUGCUCAAAGUUGGUUAUGGAAGGAAAAAAAAGGUAACCGAUUUACAUAAUUAUCAAUUUUAUGAAUUGUUUUUUAUUAAAAUAUUUAGUAAAGUUUUCUAAUAUUUUUUUGGUGUUUUUUUUUUACUAGGUGAUUCAUCAAUUCAUGACUCAUAGCCCCAACUCAUAAUGAUGGAUGAAAAUGAUGAUUUACUUGUGCUUUAGAUUUUUUACUUAAGAUGAUGUUAGAGACAUUUUUUCUUUCUUUUUUGCUAACAAUUUCUUUGUAAUGUCUUUUUUUUUUAUUUUUUUUCAAUGUUGUUAAGCUUAUGGAUAUAUUUUAAUUUUGGAUAUUAUAUUUUGGCAUGUCUUCUAUGAUGUUAAUUACCAUGGUUGUAACUAAGAACCACAUUCUUUACAAUCAAGUUCAAGACUUGCAAGGUAGAGUCCUUGUAAGGAAAUGUGGAUGCAGGAACAUAUGCUAAUUGAAGCCAACAAUGCGUUGAAAAGAAAGGUACAAAUUCUCAAAUGAACCUGGUCUUUUCUUUUAGAUUGACAUCCUGUGUUAUAGGAAGUGGGUCUGGUCAGCCUAGUCCAAAGGCCAUUAACAGGCCUUCUAAGUCCAGCUUGGUUAAAGGGGAUUUAGGAAUUUGAGUUGUAUUAGUAGUAACAUCGAUGAAGAAAAACUUCAUGCUAGAUUUCUAUUGCAUACUAACUGUCAAAAUUGAAGAAAAUUUUGGCUUAGUUGAUCAGAAUAUGGAUCCCAGUUGCAGUAGUUUUCAAUAAGUUUUCCCCUUGUCAGAAGCAGAAAAACUGGGAUCAAAAUCCAAAACCCGCCAUAUGGUGGAUACAAAUUGGUAUAACAAGUCUUACUAAAUCUUGAGGAAAGUUCUUAAGAUGGUGGAAUUGUUACUAAAUGGAACCCAUUUGAUGGGUCUUGACAUGGUUUCUUGGUGGUCAUUGCAAGUCAUUCUUUAGAAUUGCAUUCAAAUUUUACAGGUUUGAGCUUCUAUUCUCUCAUAAUAUACCUCUUGUUUUUGCCUUUUUAUUGUGACAGCAAAUUUCCAAGUACAUUGAUGAGCACUAUAAAAAUUUCUAGAAUUUUCUCAACUUCCAUCUAAUAAUGUGCCAGUCGGUUUCAAUUGUGGUUCUGGUUGGGCAGGUAAUCCUCUCUGUUUUCAGAAUAAGGCUAUUUUUUUUUUAUAUCUAUACUUAUGCAGCCAUCAUACCUCUUCAAAUUAUGAACUUGUUGUGUUGGAAAAAUCAACAUCUGUAUACUCUUGUUUCAAUUCCAAUUCAAUCAAAAAACAAUUCCAUUAGAAGGUCAAGAUUUGGUGUAUGCAGAAUUGUUAUAGAUGAGACGCUAGGUUGCAGCCAGUCAGGCCAGCCCAAAGUGAAUCUUUUGUUUGGAAAUGAUUUCAGUAGCCACAGAUGGUGCCAUUUCUCCCCUAUUUUUCAGAAAAAGGCUGCUUUUCCUGCAUAAAUUUGUGUUGUGGAAUGAUUUUCAUUGUUCAAAUGACAUUCAAAGUUCUGUUUUCCAAAAUUUUCUUAAAGAUUUGGACAAAAUUGCACACAAGUCAUUUUAACCAAUUUUUCUUGACAUGAAGAGAAGAAUUCCAACAUCAUAUUUAUGGGGAUUUGUUUGUUUUCUUGCAUUUCUGCAUACUUAGGAGUUCUAAACUGCUUUCUUCGGGGAUAUGAUUCCAUGGAAGAAUUUCAACACCAUAAUUAUGGAGAUUUGUUUGUUUUCUUGCAUCUCUGCAUACUUGGGAGUUUCAAACUGCUUUCUUUGGGGAUAUGAUUCCAUGGAAGUAUUUCAACACCAUAAUUAUGGGGAUUUGUUUGUUUUCUUGCAUCUUUGCAUACUUAGGAAUACCAAACUGUUUUCUUUGGGGAGAUACUUUGAAUCUAAAUGGAUUGCACCCCAUUUCCAGAUCAAUGCAGUUGUGCUUGCUAUUCUGAUAUGGGCAAUAAGAACUCAUCCAGGAGCUCACUACAACAGUCCAAAUCAACAAGAACGCCGUAAUUUCACACAUUCCUUUCUAGUACCACCCAACUCGCCUAUCCCAGGUUGCUUAAGUGAAUUUCUCAAUGAUAGGCUUUCACAGAUCUCUCUGCCAUAUCUUAAGGAUGGCAGUUCACAGGGCUGUCUGUCAUAUAUUUAGGAUGUGUUCACAGGACUAUUUCAGAGAAGAAACCAAUUCUAGUUCAAAAUUCACAUGAAAAAAUAUAUAGAAAAUUUUCCUCUCAAAUACAUUCAUUAAUCAAGGUUAACUCUUUGGGAAUCAAUGCUUCAUUUCAUAUGCCUAAAAAAAAGCCCAGAUGCUGAUGGAGAAAUGUGUACUGAAUCCUUUGGAUGAUUGCAGCUCAACCCUGAUAAUCACCCAUCUUGGCUGGGGGUGCAGCUAAGCUAUGGUUGAUCUUUUGGGGCAUUUGGGUGGAGAUCUCUCUCUUUGUGGAUGGAUAUAUAGUAGGAUAGUCUCCUGCUUCAUGCUAAGUAAGCACCCUCUCCCUCUCACAAAGAU